rnacentral:rRNA from 1 species
CUGAGUACGGCGGAACACGUGAAAUUCCGUCGGAAUCCGGGAGGACCAUCUCCCAAGGCUAAAUACUCCCUAGUGACCGAUAGUGAACCAGUACCGUGAGGGAAAGGUGAAAAGCACCCCGGAAGGGGAGUGAAACAGUUCCUGAAACCGUGUGCCUACAAGUAGUUAGAGCCCGUUAAUGGGUGAUAGCGUGCCUUUUGUAGAAUGAACCGGCGAGUUACGAUUUGUUGCAAGGUUAAGCGGAAAAAGCGGAGCCGUAGCGAAAGCGAGUCUGAAUAGGGCGCAUAAGUAACAGGUCGUAGACCCGAAACCAGGUGAUCUACCCAUGUCCAGGAUGAAGGUAAGGUAAUACUUACUGGAGGUCCGAACCCACGCACGUUGAAAAGUGCGGGGAUGAGGUGUGGGUAGCGGAGAAAUUCCAAUCGAACUUGGAGAUAGCUGGUUCUCUCCGAAAUAGCUUUAGGGCUAGCCUCGAGGUAAAGAGUCAUGGAGGUAGAGCACUGUUUGGACUAGGGGCCCUUCUCGGGUUACCGAAUUCAGAUAAACUCCGAAUGCCAUGUACUUAUACUCGGGAGUCAGACUGCGAGUGAUAAGAUCCGUAGUCGAAAGGGAAACAGCCCAGACCACCAGUUAAGGUCCCCAAAUAUAUGUUAAGUGGAAAAGGAUGUGGGGUUGCUUAGACAACCAGGAUGUUGGCUUAGAAGCAGCCACCAUUGAAAGAGUGCGUAAUAGCUCACUGGUCGAGUGACCCCGCGCCGAAAAUGUACCGGGGCUAAACAUAUUACCGAAACUGUGGAUGAACCUCUUUAGAGGUUCGUGGUAGGAGAGCGUUCUAAGGGCGGUGAAGUCAGACCGGAAGGACUGGUGGAGCGCUUAGAAGUGAGAAUGCCGGUAUGAGUAGCGAAAGAAGGGUGAGAAUCCCUUCCACCGAAUAUCUAAGGUUUCCUGAGGAAGGCUCGUCCGCUCAGGGUUAGUCGGGACCUAAGCCGAGGCCGAUAGGCGUAAGCGAUGGACAACAGGUAGAGAUUCCUGUACCAGUGCUAAUUGUUUAACCGAUGGGGUGACACAGAAGGAUAGGGAAUCGCACGAAUGGAAAUGUGCGUCCAAGCAGUGAGUGUGAGAAGUAGGCAAAUCCGCUUCUCGCGAAGCAUGAGCUGUGAUGGGGAAGGAAAUUAAGUACGGAAGUUCCUGAUUUCACGCUGUCAAGAAAAGCCUCUAGGAAGAGUAGUACUGCCCGUACCGCAAACCGACACAGGUAGAUGAGGAGAGAAUCCUAAGGUGAGCGAGAGAACUCUCGUUAAGGAACUCGGCAAAAUGACCCCGUAACUUCGGGAGAAGGGGUGCUCUAUUAGGGUGCAAGCCCGAGAGAGCCGCAGUGAAUAGGCCCAGGCGACUGUUUAGCAAAAACACAGGUCUCUGCAAAACCGUAAGGUGACGUAUAGGGGCUGACGCCUGCCCGGUGCUGGAAGGUUAAGAGGAGUGCUUAGCUUCGGCGAAGGUACGAAUUGAAGCCCCAGUAAACGGCGGCCGUAACUAUAACGGUCCUAAGGUAGCGAAAUUCCUUGUCGGGUAAGUUCCGACCCGCACGAAAGGCGCAACGAUCUGGGCACUGUCUCAACGAGAGACUCGGUGAAAUUAUAGUACCUGUGAAGAUGCAGGUUACCCGCGACAGGACGGAAAGACCCCGUGGAGCUUUACUGCAACCUGAUAUGGAAUGUUUGUACCGCUUGUACAGGAUAGGUAGGAGCCGAAGAGACGUGUGCGCUAGCAUACGAGGAGGCAAUGGUGGGAUACUACCCUGGCUGUAUGACCAUUCUAACCCGCCACGCUUAGCGCGUGGGGAGACAGUGUCAGGUGGGCAGUUUGACUGGGGCGGUCGCCUCCUAAAGAGUAACGGAGGCGCCCAAAGGUUCCCUCAGAAUGGAUGGAAAUCAUUCGCAGAGUGUAAAGGCACAAGGGAGCUUGACUGCGAGACUGACAAGUCGAGCAGGGACGAAAGUCGGGCUUAGUGAUCCGGUGGUUCCGCAUGGAAGGGCCAUCGCUCAACGGAUAAAAGCUACCCCGGGGAUAACAGGCUUAUCUCCCCCAAGAGUCCACAUCGACGGGGAGGUUUGGCACCUCGAUGUCGGCUCGUCGCAUCCUGGGGCUGUAGUCGGUCCCAAGGGUUGGGCUGUUCGCCCAUUAAAGCGGCACGCGAGCUGGGUUCAGAACGUCGUGAGACAGUUCGGUCCCUAUCCGUCGCGGGCGCAGGAAAUUUGAGAGGAGCUGUCCUUAGUACGAGAGGACCGGGAUGGACACACCGCUGGUGUACCAGUUGUUCCGCCAGGAGCAUCGCUGGGUAGCUAUGUGUGGCAGGGAUAAACGCUGAAAGCAUCUAAGCGUGAAGCCCCCCUCAAGAUGAGAUUUCCCAUUUCUUCGGAAAGUAAGAUCCCUGAAAGAUGAUCAGGUAGAUAGGUUUGGAGUGGAAGUGUAGCGAUACAUGGAGCGGACAAAUACUAAUCGAUCGAGGACUUAACCAA